rnacentral:rRNA from 1 species
UACAGAGGGUGCGAGCGUUGUUCGGAAUUAUUGGGCGUAAAGGGCGCGUAGGCGGUGCGGUAAGUCACCUGUGAAAUCUCCUGGCUCAACUGGGAGCUUGCAGGCGAAACUGCCGUGCUGGAGUGUGGGAGAGGUGCGUGGAAUUCCUGGUGGAGCGGUGAAAUGCGUAGAUAUCAGGAGGAACACCUGUGGCGAAAGCGGCGCACUGGACCACAACUGACGCUGAGGCGCGAAAGCUAGGGGAGCAAACAGG